rnacentral:lncRNA from 1 species
CCCUUUAUCCCUAAUAUUUUUUAUUAUUUCUAUAUUAUUUUCCUCCUACUUUUCUCUUUGCUAUUUUUUUCUAACAUUUUUUCUUCUUCUUCUUGGUCUUUCUUUCUACCCUUUUUUCCCUCUUUUUGUUCUUUCUUUUCUUCAAUUUUUCUUCUUCUAAAUUAUUUUCUCCAUUUUUUGUUUUUUUCUUUAUAAAUUAUUUGUGGUAAAGAAGAAAUAUAGUCAUUAAAGAAGAAAUAUAGUCAGUACUACUUAUAAAUAUAAUUGAAAAAUCAUCUCAAAUCUUUCAUGUGCUUUAUAAAAAUUAUAUUCUCUAAAAAUUAAAAAUAACUUACACAUAAAUUAACUUAUAUAAUCAAUAUAUAUUGAAGUUGAAUUAAAAUAUAAAUUAAUUUUAUUUCGAUUUAUUUUAGCAAUGUAUGAGCAAGUGACUAUUAUUUUCCCUAGCAGCUCCGCACAAAAGACAACUACAACACAGUUGAAAUC